AUGAUGGCUUUGCUAAUUCCAGGUCCUAAAUCACUUGGAAAGCACUUUGAUGUCUUUGUACAACAACUUGUAGAAGACUUACUUGAGCUGUGGGAGGGUGUGCGUACAUAUGAUGCUCUUAGUGAAAAAAUGUUUGAUCUUCAUGCUGGAGUUCUAUGGUGCAUUCAUGAUUACCCAGCUCUGAGCACUCUUUCAGGGUGGACCACAAGAGGCUAUUUUGCAUGUAUUCAUUGUGACAAACACCCUAUUUCUUACGUCCUAAGGAAAAAAUUGGGUAUAUUGGUCACUAUCAUUUCCUUCCAAAGGGACAUCGUUUGCGGAGAAAUAAUGAAUUUGUUGGUCUUCGUGAAAGCAAUGAUCGGCCAGGUAAAUUCUCUAAGAAAGAGCUGCAAGCAGAAUUGGAGAAGGUUAGACCUGGGAGGCAACAAGAGAGUAAGAAAAGGAAAUGUUCUGACUUGGGAAGCAAGAAGGCUCAUGUGCCAAUUUGGAGCCGCAGGGUUUGUUUGUGGGAUUUGGAAUAUUGGGGGAAAUUGA
rnacentral:rRNA from 1 species